rnacentral:piRNA from 1 species
UAGAGCUGACAAACUCGGUUGUGACAGUGC